rnacentral:rRNA from 1 species
UAUCGGAUUGAUACUAAGCCAUGCGAGUCAUUGUAGCAAUACAAGGCAUACGGCUCAGUAACGCGUAGUCAACCUAACCUAUGGACGGGAAUAACCUCGGGAAACUGAGAAUAAUGCCCGAUAGAACACUAUUCCUGGAAUGGUUUAUGUUCCAAAUGAUUUAUCGCCGUAGGAUGGGACUGCGGCCUAUCAGUUUGUUGGUGAGGUAAUGGCCCACCAAGACUAUUACAGGUACGGGCUCUGAGAGGAGUAGCCCGGAGAUGGGUACUGAGACACGGACCCAGGCCCUAUGGGGCGCAGCAGGCGAGAAAACUUUGCAAUGUGCGAAAGCACGACAAGGUUAAUCCGAGUGGUUUCUGCUAAAGGAACCUUUUGUCAGUCCUAGAAACACUGAUGAAUAAGGGGUGGGCAAGUUCUGGUGUCAGCCGCCGCGGUAAAACCAGCACCUCAAGUGGUCAGGAUGAUUAUUGGGCCUAAAGCAUCCGUAGCCGGCUCUGUAAGUUUUCGGUUAAAUCUGUACGCUCAACGUACAGGCUGCCGGGAAUACUGCAAAGCUAGGGAGUGGGAGAGGUAGACGGUACUCGGUAGGAAGGGGUAAAAUCCUUUGAUCUAUUGAUGACCACCUGUGGCGAAGGCGGUCUACCAGAACACGUCCGACGGUGAGGGAUGAAAGCUGGGGGAGCAAACCGGAUUAGAUACCCGGGUAGUCCCAGCUGUAAACCAUGCAAACUCAGUGAUGCAUUGGCUUGUGGCCAAUGCAGUGCUGCAGGGAAGCCGUUAAGUUUGCCGCCUGGGAAGUACGUACGCAAGUAUGAAACUUAAAGGAAUUGGCGGGGGAGCACCACAAGGGGUGAAGCCUGCGGUUCAAUUGGAGUC